CUUGCUGGCUUAAGCAACCAGGCAGUUAACCACUACACUGGCUGUCUCUUCCUUGGCUCCUUGAUAAGCUGGAAAUUUCAAAAGAACAACAUAUCCAGCUCCUGGUUCAUUUACCUUCUCAGCCAUGAACUCUCAAAAUCAAAGCCAGCAAGUUGUCACCACCUGAAAUUAUCCCUCUCACAAAAUCCAUACAUCAGACGCCCACUGUCAAGAGACAAUUCUCCGUGGGUGUCUCACAUUUCUGCUCAUCUUGAAGGUAAGGUAUUGAUUAUCCUUUGCUGUAAACAAUCUGUAAAAGGAUGGACAUACAGAAAUUACUUCGAAGAAAGAGAGCCUCCCUCCAGAACAAGGGCAUGUUUGCUUACAACCUUGGAAGAUAGAUACAGUGCCUUCCUCCAGAGCAAAGGGCAAUCGUGUUUACUAUCCAAUGUAAUAAAUAUAAUAGCUUCCACUAAAGCAAAGGGCAGGUGUGCUUACUGAUCAUAUAAAAUGUUGGGUUCCCUAAACUUAAAUUUCUCUCCUAUAAUUAAC
rnacentral:lncRNA from 10 species